rnacentral:rRNA from 1 species
AAUCCAUAGGUUAAUGAGGCGAACCGGGGGAACUGAAACAUCUAAGUACCCCGAGGAAAAGAAAUCAACCGAGAUUCCCCCAGUAGCGGCGAGCGAACGGGGAGGAGCCCAGAGCCUGAAUCAGCAUGUGUGUUAGUGGAAGCGUCUGGAAAGGCGCGCGAUACAGGGUGACAGCCCCGUACACAAAAGCGCAUGUGCUGUGAGCUCGAUGAGUAGGGCGGGACACGUGGUAUCCUGUCUGAAUAUGGGGGGACCAUCCUCCAAGGCUAAAUACUCCUGACUGACCGAUAGUGAACCAGUACCGUGAGGGAAAGGCGAAAAGAACCCCGGCGAGGGGAGUGAAAAAGAACCUGAAACCGUGUACGUACAAGCAGUGGGAGCCCCACCACUAAGCCAGUGGUGAACUCCACAUACGCAUCCUUUGCUGAGGAUACGGUUAACGGAGCGAAAGCGACGUUCAACCGCAAAAGAAGCAGAGGGGGCUUAGUGGUGGGGUGACUGCGUACCUUUUGUAUAAUGGGUCAGCGACUUAUAUUCUGUAGCAAGGUUAACCGUAUAGGGGAGCCGGAGGGAAACCGAGUCUUAAUUGGGCGUUAAGUUGCAGGGUAUAGACCCGAAACCCGGUGAUCUAGCCAUGGGCAGGUUGAAGGUUGGGUAACACUAACUGGAGGACCGAACCGACUAAUGUUGAAAAAUUAGCGGAUGACCUGUGGCUGGGGGUGAAAGGCCAAUCAAACCGGGAGAUAGCUGGUUC